rnacentral:tRNA from 1 species
UGGGUAAUAGCUCAGUGGUAGAGCAUGUGUUUAGCAUGCACGAGGUCCUGGGUUCAAUCCCCAGUACCUCCA